rnacentral:rRNA from 1 species
UACGGGGGGAGCAAGCGGUUGUUCGGAUUUACUGGGCGUAAAGGGCGCGUAGGCGGUCGUGACAAGUCACUUGUGAAAUCUCCGGGCUUAACUCGGAACGGUCAAGUGAUACUGUCGGACUAGAGUACAGAAGGGGCAACUGGAAUUCUCGGUGUAGCGGUGAAAUGCGUAGAUAUCGAGAGGAACACCUGCGGCGAAGGCGGGUUGCUGGGCUGAUACUGACGCUGAGGCGCGAAAGCCAGGGGAGCGAACGGG